rnacentral:lncRNA from 1 species
GCUUACCAACCAUGGGGUCGCCCAUUGCUUCCAUGAUUAUAAACUUCUUAAUAUGAGUGGGUGGUAGAGAAUGAGGUGACAAUAAAAGAUUUAACACUUUUUUUUAAUUGCGAUUUUAUUAAAAAGGAAAGAAAAAAACCUAAAGAAAAACCCUUGAAAGCACAAGAAGAGCAGACUAAGGGCCGGACCUCUUUAAAACAUUUUUACGGAAAAUCCAGUGGAAAAAACCGUAAAAAGGAAAAAGAGUACCCGUCUAAAAGAGAGGGGAGAGCGGAACUCCGGCCUAACCAUCGUCCCCAAACAAUUCCAGCUCUCCCCCAAAAAAACAAAAGAAUAGUGGUAAAUGGCCCGUGAGACGCCGUCGCCAAAAAACCAAACCAGAGAAAGCUAAACGGCCGGUUAGACUCCGUCGCCAUUAGCACAAACAAGAAAACCCAAACAAACAAAGGAAUACUAUUUAACACUAUAUCUUGUAAUUUUGAUUGAACUCGGCAAUAAUUGAGAUUAAGUA